rnacentral:lncRNA from 1 species
CUACAGUUUCGCAUACUUUUUCUCUUGAAUGAAAAGAUGACCACACAGAUUAGAAUAAUGGACACUUUUGGCAUUUAUAUGGAUUUAAAGGGUCAGGCAGUUAAACAUGAGUUCAAAGGGACAGUGGUUUAUUUAUUCUAAGACUGGGUGUGAUGGUUUGAUGUAAAGUGCCUCUGAUCUGAAGCUACCUAAUGUGUUGCAGUAUCUCUGGAUGAAAAUAGAAACAGGCUGUAGGAUUACGUAGGUUAUUUGUUCAAAUCUUGUUCACAUGUUACAACUGAAAUAAGGAAGACCAUAAUUAUAACAUGAAAUGUUUGUAUAUUUGGUGUA